AAAUAAAUUUUUAUGGUUUUGAAAAUUUAUUUUAAAUUUAUUUUACAUAUAAAUUUUAGUGUUAAUUAUUAAUUAUUUAAAUAAUAUUUAAUAUUUUUGUAGUAAUUAGUCUUAAAAAUUUAAGAAAUUAAGAUUUAGUAAUAUUAAAAUUUAAUAACUAAUUUUGUGCCAGCAGUUGCGGUUAUACAAAAAUUAAUUUAAAUUUUUUUUUGGUUAUUAAUUAAUAAUUUUAUUUGUAAUUUAAAUUUUAAAUUUUAAAGUGAAAUUUUAAUUUAAUAAAAAGUUAUUUAUUAUUUAUGAUUUAAUAAAUUUUAUAAAAAACUAGGAUUAGAUACCCUAUUAUUAAAAUUUAAAUUAAUAAUACUUAAAUAGUAGAUAAUUAUUUAUUGAAACUUAAAUAAUUUGGCGGUAUUUUAGUUCAUUUAGAGGAAUCUGUUUAAUAAUUGAUAAUCCACGAAUAAAUUUACUUAAUUUAUUAUUUUGUAUAUCGUUGUUAAAAAAAUAUUUUUUAAUAAUAUUAAUAUUUAAAAAUUUUUAAUAUAAAUUAAAUCAGAUCAAGAUGCAGAUUAUAAUUAAGAAUAUAAUGGAUUACAAUAAAUUUAUUUAAUUGAAUUUUUAUAUGUAAAAUUAAAUGAAAUUGGAUUUAAAUGUAAUUUUAUUUAGUUUUUUGAAAUGAUUAAAUAUUAAAAUAUGUACAUAUUGCCCGUCGCUUUCAUUUAAAAAUUGGAAUAAGUCGUAACAAAGUAGAAGUACUGGAAAGUGUUUCUAGAAAGAU
rnacentral:ncRNA from 1 species